rnacentral:lncRNA from 1 species
UCAAGUAGUAAAUAAUAAUAUAACACCAUUAAAAUAAAAAUGAAAUAAAUAAUACAAAUAUCCAAAUACCUUAAAAUACAUAAUUCAAAUAAAAAUUCAUACAUGUCCAUAGACUUUCAUUAACUAAAAGUUAACAAACCUAAAACAAACAAUCUGUUGAUGUGUCAUGUAAACUAAACACACCCUCGUUGCCUUUAUUUUCCUCAUUAUUCCAAAAACCUUCAUCAAAAUCAUUACCAUCAAUUCUUCACGACUGCACAUAUAAAGUAAACAUAGAAAUAUGAACUUGCCUAGAGGCAGAGUUUAAGCAAGCAAAACAUAAAGGUGCACAAUAUUUGGACUUACCAGAACAGAAGCAAACCAAUUAAUAGUAAAAGAUAAACACAGAAUACCCAGAUACUUUACUUAAGAUGUAGAGUAAGUCAAGAAUCAAUUCUCUAAUCUUAAAAUAAUUUUUUUGUCUGUUAUCCAUUGCUAACAAUGUAAUUAUAAUAUUGUUUCACAGGCUUAUGUAAUUUUUUUUUAUUCUCAAUAGCACAACUAAAAAUAAACUGGAAAUCAAAAUUUAUAUGUUACUAUGUAAGAAUAUAAACAUGCAUUUUGAUGAAAAAAAUAUGAAGGGAUAUAUAUAUUUGUGAGUGGAGUACAGUUCGAGCAAACUGCAAAGAACUCAUUGAGAAGCUCAGCAAGCAAAAGGAGAGUCGAAUCAUUAUGUGUGUUUUCGGAACAAGGGAUGAAUAAACACAGAGGAUGAAUAAACACAGAGGAUGAAGACAUAAUUAAAAAUAGAGGAACCAACCAAACAAAAACAGAGAGAGCAGAGACAAAAAAAAAAAAGAAGACCAAGGAGAACGAAGAAACCUAGAAGAACGAAGGGACGAUCGAGACAGUCAAAAAUCAAAUAUGCAGGCUACAGAGAGAGUUAUGCAAUUUUCCCCCGUUUCAUUUUCCACAAAUCACAACAUCUAGAUUCUAGAUUAUUAACAUGCUGCAGGAACCCAACACUAAAACUUUCACCAGAAUCACCACCAUUAUUCACAUACCAGACGAGAUAGAAAAAACAAAGCUUGGGAAUAAAUUCUUACCUUCGUCUCGCCAAGAACGCUCCGGAUCUCGAUAGCAAGCAAAACCAGCUGAGAGAGUGGAGACUGGAGACAGCGCUGCUGGUGAGUGGACUCAGUGGAGAGCGGAACCGAAUCAACCGAUUUCUUAAUCUUAAUCUGAUGGAGAGUGGAGAGUGGAAAGGGGAAAGGGGAAAGUGAAAGGGGAAGGGAUGAAGGGUGGACUGUGGAGUGUCGGGUCACGGGUGGGGAGUGGGGAGUGGGCACUGGGAAUUGGGAGAAGGGAGUGAUGAGUCAGCAUAGGCACAACAAUCAACAAUUCAGCAUGACAAGUGACAAACUCUUUUA